rnacentral:lncRNA from 1 species
AACAGAGCCGUCACCGUGCGUUAUUUAUCCCAAAAGGAGGGAAAGGAAACGCUCGAAGUAAAUCUGGAAAAGACAUGGUCUCACGACCAAAGAGAAUGGGAUCGAGAGUCGGUUAUGCGAAGGGAAGGUAUUAGCACCCCUACACAUCUGUCGUACUCGACGGGAUCCACGCACAAAAGGAAGGAUAAAGGUUGCUAAAAUUGCUC